rnacentral:rRNA from 1 species
ACUCCUACGGGAGGCAGCAGUGGGGAAUUUUGGACAAUGGGGGCAACCCUGAUCCAGCCAUGCCGCGUGAGUGAAGAAGGCCUUCGGGUUGUAAAGCUCUUUCGGACGGAACGAAACGGUUGCGGUGAAURUCCGCGACUAAUGACGGUACCGUAAGAAGAAGCACCGGCUAACUACGUGCCAGCAGCCGCGGUAAUACGUAGGGUGCGAGCGUUAAUCGGAAUUACUGGGCGUAAAGCGUGCGCUGGCGGUUCGCCAAGUCAGGUGUGAAAUCCCCGGGCUUAACCUGGGAAUUGCGCUUGAAACUAGCGGGCUUGAGUGCGGCAGAGGGGGGUGGAAUUCCACGUGUAGCAGUGAAAUGCGUAGAGAUGUGGAGGAACACCGAUGGCGAAGGCAGCCCCCUGGGUCGACACUGACGCACAUGCACGAAAGCGUGGGGAGCAAACAGGAUUAGAUACCCUGGUAGUCCACGCCCUAAACGAUGUCGACUAGGUGUUGGGGAAGGAGACUUCCUUAGUACCGCAGCUAACGCGUGAAGUCGACCGCCUGGGGAGUACGGUCGCAAGAUUAAAACUUAAAUGAAUUGACGG